rnacentral:rRNA from 1 species
GAUGAACGCUGGCGGCGUGCCUAAUACAUGCAAGUCGAACGAAACUUCUUUAUCACCGAGUGCUUGCACUCACCGAUAAAGAGUUGAGUGGCGAACGGGUGAGUAACACGUGGGCAACCUGCCCAAAAGAGGGGGUAAACACUUGGAAACGGUUGCUAAUACCGCAAAACCUUAGUUACGGCAUGGUAACUAGGUAAAAGGUGCCAUACUAACGGCUUUUGGAUGGGCCCGCGGCGCAUUAGCUAGUUGGUAGGGUAAAGGCUUACCAAGGCAAUGAUGCGUAGCCGAAUUGAGAGGUUGAUCGGCCACAUUGGGACUGAGACACGGCCCAAACUCCUACGGGAGGCAGCAGUAGGGAAUCUUCCACAAUGGGCGAAAGCCUGAUGGAGCAACGCCGCGUGGGUGAAGAAGGUCUUCGGAUCGUAAAACCCUGUUGUUAGAGAAGAAAGUGCGUGAGAGUAACUGUUCACGUUUCGACGGUAUCUAACCAGAAAGCCACGGCUAACUACGUG